rnacentral:rRNA from 1 species
UACGGAGGGUGCAAGCGUUAUCCGGAUUCACUGGGUUUAAAGGGUGCGUAGGUGGGCAGGUAAGUCAGUGGUGAAAUCCCCAAGCUUAACUUGGGAACUGCCAUUGAUACUAUUUGUCUUGAAUACCGUGGAGGUGAGCGGAAUAUGUCAUGUAGCGGUGAAAUGCUUAGAUAUGACAUAGAACACCAAUUGCGAAGGCAGCUUGCUACGCGGAUAUUGACGCUGAUGCGCGAAAGCUAGGGGAGCAAACAGG